ACGAAAGCAUCGACCCAUUUCCCCAACUCGAGACCCGCGACGGUGACCCAACAGGAACUCCCUCGUCCGGCGACGGCACGACGGCGCACUGGUCAUGUUCGAUGCGUCUCGUCGUCGUGGUUCUGUCUAUGGUCACGGAUCAUCCAUGCAUGGAGCGAGGAGAGAGAAUCGAAGCCCAAAAGCUUCGGGUUUUCCGGAGAAGUUUCUGCAACUUCCGGCGAUCUCCGGGGCUGCAUGAGGUAUGGAAAUCGGUCCUCUAGUCAUGCUCUACGUCUUGCUGAGUUUAUUUUUGGAUUUGAUUGAGUUUUGAUCGACUGGCUCUUUUGGGUGUUAUCGGGUUCGAUGGAGCUACUGACGACGGUGGCUUUUCCGGUUUCCUGGGUUCAUCUGCGACGUCCUGGAGCCCGACUUGACACUUGGACGAAGCUUGGGUCACCGAGCAGAUCGAACUGAUGAAGUUGGAUUAUGAUCCGGUUCUGUCAAUUGAUUGUCAAAGGUUGCUGAAGUUAGAACUGGUUAUAUGGUUGCUGGGAUUUGACCUCCCUGGUUAUAUGUUUGAUUCUAUCAAAUUGUCUUUGUAUUGAAAAAAGAAAGAAAUUAUGGGUCAGUUGGGUUAUGUUUGGAAAUUUGGGGGAUCAUGACAAUGUUUGAAAUUCCAGAUGUUCAUUUUGAUGCUCACUGUAAA